rnacentral:rRNA from 1 species
UCAGGCNUCACNCNAAGUCAGGCNUNCAUGCAAGUCGAGGGGUAGAAAGGAGCUUGCUCUUUUGAGACCGGCGGAUGGGUGAGUAACACGUAUGCAAUCUGCCUUGUACAGGGGAAUAGCCCAGGGAAACUUGGAUUAAUGCCCCAUAGUGUCCUGUUCCGGCAUUGGGACUUGAUUAAAGAUUUAUCGGUACAAGAUGAGCAUGCGCCCCAUUAGUUAGUUGGUAUGGUAACGGCAUACCAAGGCAAUGAUGGGUAGGGGCCCUGAGAGGGGUAUCCCCCACACUGGUACUGAGACACGGACCAGACUCCUACGGGAGGCAGCAGUGAGGAAUAUUGGACAAUGAGCGAGAGCUUGAUCCAGCCAUGCCGCGUGCAGGAAGACUGCCCUAUGGGUUGUAAACUGCUUUUACAGAGGAAGAAACANCCNUUCGUGAGGGGGGACGUNC